AUGAUUUAGUGCCUAUAUCUUUAAAGCUUAUUAAACUUCAAUUACAAUUAAAUCCUCCUUCAUAGUAUCCAUUUUUCAUACCCUACUCCGUAAUAAAUACAUUUUAUUGUAAUCCAUUUUAACUUGUUCAUAAACUACACCUUGAUCUAAUUUUAUCUAUUCUUUAAUAGAUCUUAAUAAUUAAUUUCUUUGAAAAUUAUCUGAUAAUGACGGUAUAUAAGCUAAAUAAAACAAGCAAGAUUCCACGUGGUAUAUCGAUCCAAAAACAGAUUCCUCUAAUAAGAUUAAACCACCGCCAAAUUCUUCAAAUUUAAAGAUCAUAUCUAUUAAU
rnacentral:rRNA from 1 species